GCAACGGUAUGGAAUGUAAAAGUGGAUCGGAAGGUCAUGGACUCAGACUUCGUACUCUGUUUGGACAGUUAUACGACUGGCGCAUGAAACAGCCAGUACAAUUAAAGCAGAGGUGAAGCCCGCAUGAAAUGCCCCAGAAGUUGAGCUCAAGGGCUCCGAAAGAGAGACGAUUCCGUGGUCUGCUGCCCCCUGUCGGCGCGAGGCAGCACAGCGUCAUAACGCGCGUGUUUUUAUUUCAUUUGAUUUCAUAUGAACGUCGCCUGUUCCAAGAGCAGAACUCUGUCCUGAUGCAUAUUUGUCACAUAUGAUAUGGCGUUGUUUGUUGGGACGUGGUAGGAGAGCAGCGCGGAUCCCUGUGGGCGGACCCCCCGCGCAGCUGCGCUCUGUCCUCGCGCUCGGAAGCCGAGUACGCGGCGGCGCAGUUGGCGAGUAGCGGAGACCCGCAGCGGACGCGUUGCUCCCGCGCGCCAGAUUUGAAAACGCUAAAAAACGCCGCUGAACACACAGAGCACCUGGAGAGGGCGCCCUGGAGCUCAGUGACCUGCGCUGCACACCUGGCUGUGUACACCUGUGUAAACUCGACCACCUCCGAGAUCAUCAUCAUCAUCAUCACCAUGACCACCCAGACCGCGGUCCUGUCUCUGUUGAACUCGCGUGACCAAGCGGAAGACCCGGGGGACCCCGGACCUGGGCCGGGGAGUCGCGGCCUCGGCCGUGCGUCAGCUUGUCCCGGGGUGGGGUUUGGGACCCGGGGAUGGGGGGCCACACUGAUCUCCAGCUGUGGUGAUGUUCGGUAAGCGCGACUGUCAGUGGUGUGUCUUGAACGCGACCUUCGUUCGGAGUUGUGCAGGACUCCUCUCGAACCCCUUCACCCCCCUCUCCUGACGGGAGAUGACCGUAGCGAACGUGGUCUCAGUGCGGGACCGCGAGGAGACGGACGGCAGCUGUGUGUGUUUUCGUCCUCACCGAGUCACUGUAAUGCGGGGCGUCCUGGGUUCAAAGGUGUGUUGGUGACGUCCCCCUGGGCCCCCCCGAUUCGCUGACGCGAGGCCCCACCUCUCUCUGGAGCCCAUCCAACUGCCGAGUGCUCAGCGCAGCGGCGGUUCUGGCAGCUUCCGCACCGUGUUUAAGAAAUGCGUCGUGGGAAUCGGGCGGAGGAGAGGUCCGCGACGAUGACCUCCGCUCGUCAGCAGCAUCAUCGUCAUUGAGGAGCGGCCGAGAGGCGGAGCACAGCCUGAGAGCCCCUCCCCUCCCCAGAGAAACAUGGAGCACGAACCCCGGGAGAAGAGCAGGACCAGCUUCUUCAGCAAUGUCAAGACAAGCCCCCAGGCUCCCGGAGUGCAGGCGAACCCCCGGCCUCCACCCCGAGUCUGUGGCCCUGGCGGCGACCCCUCGCCUCACCCCCCUGCCCGCCCCCAUGUCCCGCACAUCCGAAACCCACGGCUGCGCCAGUACUACCUGAAAGAGUCGACAUGGGGGCUCGAGGAAGCCGGCGUGAAGCCUACAGCCUUGGACAAGUCUUCCAACGGGAAGGAUGGCUCUAAUGAUGGAGACACGGUUCGGCCCCAAGACACCGUCUUCAGCGUCGUGUCACGGUUGAGCCCCGCCCCCAUCCACCUGCCACGUGCGAGCGACCCGUCUCCACACAGCCUUGUCCCGGAGCGGCAUCUGCGUGUCCCGGAUGCCGAGGAAGCGCCCUCUUCGGCAUCAUCGCCAAGUUUGGACCCGACCCCUGAGCCGGUUCCCCCCGGCAGCCUCGCGUCCCCCUCGCCAGACGCCGAGUACGACAAACUGCUGGAUGUGGAAGCGGUGCCAAUGCCUGACGGACAGCUCUGUCUGCUGGCUUUGCCCCCCGAGUGCUCUGAGGGGGAGGGGCCCAUCGCCAUGCCGUACCUCAAACUCUACUGCCGCUACAUCACUGACCGCAAGGGCGUGGUGUCGGGGGUCCUGCUGGUGACGCCAAACAAGAUCUUCUUUGACCCGUACAAGUCCCACCCGCUGGUGGUGGAGCAUGGCUGUGAGGAGUACCUACUCUCCUGCUCCGUCGACGGCCUGCGGUCUGUGUCCUUCUGCCCCGACAUCUCCCACGUGCACUUCAGCGGUGCCGCACAGCGGGUCAAAGGGCGGAGGAAGGAGACACGCCUUAAGAAGGCAAAGAACCUAGCAAGGAAGUCGCAGGGGAUCCGGAAAGGGGAGACCGUCCUCGCCUUGGUGUCAUCGGCGGCUCCGGGUCCGAGCCCUGGCGAGGGGGGCGCGGAGAGCCGGGAUGCGGUGGGGGCGGAGCGAGCGGAGAGCGCCAUCGACGAGUUGGCCGCCCAGUCCGCAGGGGUGCUGGGGGCCGGUGUGCUGGGCAGUGCUGCCACCUUCUGCUGCGGUGGACUUGAUGCGGGCGACAAACGGAGCGCGGAGGGAGCCGAAGGACCGCAGGCGCCACGGAAGGGGCUGCCAGCGCUUUCCCCCCAGACCCCCGGUAGCCAUGGAGCCCUGAUGUUCUUGAGGCUGCGCUUCCACCCGCCCCACAGGAAGAAGAAGGUCGGCUCGGUAAAGUCCCCCCAGGUGAAAGACGCCUGGUUCGCCCUCUCCCAGGAGAGUUCGGAUGAGCUCUAUGCGUACCUGAGCCACUGGAGGCCUGACCUGUGCAUUCUGGAAGGCAGCGAGGAGGACGGCGAGAACGAGGAGUUUGUGCUGGUUGAUGAUGGGCAGGACGAGGUGUCCCAGGUGGACGGUCAGGCUGGAGACGAGUGGGAGAUGGUGUCUGUGGAGGAGGGUGGGGGGAAGAGCCUGGUUCUGGACAGAGAGCCGGAGGGACUGGGUGACAUCCUGGAGCAGAGCAACAUCCUUGAGGCUGAUCACGUCAGACGGCUCUCCAGCGAGCUUCCCCCUCGAACCGUGGGCCACACGUGGCGCCUGGCCUACAGCACGUCCCGACACGGCUCCAGCCUCCGCUCUCUCUACAGGAAGCUGUCCGGCAGCGACUCGCCCUCGCUGAUCGUCAUCAAGGACUCUCGAGGCCAGGUGUUUGGGGCAUUUCUCUCUCACCCGCUGAGGCCCAGCGAGAGCUUCUAUGGCACCGGGGAGACGUUCCUCUUCACCGUGGAACCGCGCUUUGAGUGUUUCCACUGGACGGGUGAGAACUCCUUCUUCAUAAAGGGCGACCUGGACUCCUUCGCCAUCGGGGGAGGAAGCAUCUGCACAGGUUCCGCCCCCUAGCGGUCGCCCGUGAACCGCGCUAAGGAGAGCAACGAGUGGGAAAAUCGCGAGCGAGAUUCGGCGCGUGACACUCGGAGAGAUGAGCGGCCGUGGCUUCCUUCAAGAUGAGUUUUGUCACCACGAGUUGCAUUUUUGAGAGUUCCAGUGCCUCGUUUCUGCUGGUACCAUCCCGCUUCUUCGUCUUCACAGAGCAGUGGGCAAGAGAGGCAUCGCCGCGUAGGAGUAGCGUGUGUCGACCUCAUGUGCAGAAAUCGGCGGUCACUUCGGCCUGUGGCUGGACGAGAUGCUCUACCUCGGCCGCAGUAGCCCCUGCUGCACCUUUGACAACCGCUGCCUUGCCGGGGCGGACGACUUCCGCGUCGUGGAGCUGGAGGUGUGGACUUUCUGCUGAGACCGUCGCCCCCUGGAGACCGGAGGACGACUUCACCAGCAGACUCCUUGCUGAGAAAGAGGAAGGAGGGAGGGUAGCGCCUCCUACUGGACACAGCCACCCGCAGCCUCUGCUUCCGCCAUCCCCCUUCCUGGAGGCCGUUGGGCUGCGUCCCAGCACCGCGUCGAGCCCUCAGUGUGACAUUGCCACCGUUUACAUGUCAGCUGGUCCGUCUGUGAAAGGUUUGACUGGGAAGACUGUGUGUAAACACACUUCAGCCCUUUGUUCAAAGGGGACGGUGAGGGUGGGG